rnacentral:rRNA from 1 species
GUAGUCUCGCACAGAUGCAUAUCAAUAAGCGGAGGAAAAGAAACUAACAAGGAUUCCCCUAGUAACGGCGAGUGAAGCGGGAAGAGCUCAAAUUUGAAAUCUUAAAGGGUUUCCCUUUACGAAUUGUAGUUUAAAGAAGUGUUUUCUGUUGAGGUUUUGGUAAAAGUUCUUUGGAAUAGGACAUCAUAGAGGGUGAGAAUCCCGUAUUUGACCUUUACUUUCAACUUUGUGAUACACUUUCAAAGAGUCGGAUUGUAUUGGGAAUGCAGUCCAAAAUGGGUGGUAAAUUUCAUCUAAAGCUAAAUAUUGGCGAGAGACCGAUAGCAAACAAGUACCGUGAGGGAAAGAUGAAAAGAACUUUGAAAAGAGAGUUAAACAGUACGUGAAAUUGUCAAAAGGGAAGCGUUUGACACCAGUGUUGUUUUUCUGAAAAUCAAUUAAAGAACUGUUUAUGCUAAGCUGUUUAGACUUUAUCAGCUAAUCUGUUUAGUUUUGAGCUUUUCUUUAAUGCACUUUUCAGUUAACAAGUCAGCAUCAAUUUCUUUUGCUGUAAAAAAGCUUGAGGAAGGUGGCUUGAGAUUCGUCUUAAGUGUUUAUAGCCUCUUGCCUAUGCAGUCGGAGAGAUUGAGGUCUGCAGCGUAGAUCCUUCGGGGCUAAAUGCAUUUGUGCUAAGUUAUAACAUUUUAUAGACAACUUGUUGACUAUGACUUGUCUUGUAGCUUACUCGCUUAUGUUAUUUUACCUACGCUUAGGAUGUUGAUCUGUAGUGCGUGCGC